CCUGUUUAUGUUACUUGAUGUGGUCACCUGAGUUGAGGAGCAGUGUGGAGCUACUGCAUCCAACAAAGCAUCAAGAGAUGCUGUCACAACCCUACACACAAUCCACUGCAAGACCAAGCCACCAAUUCUGCACAGCCACCAGUGCUGUCUGUGCUUCAGGAAAACUGAGAAAAGCUGAAGAGGCUGAACUUGUCGUCCUGAAGGAGAAGAAAAUGCCUCAGAAAACCAGGAACCCUUCCAUCCAUGCUAAGAGAAUACUUGUUCAAUUAAACGACUUUUACCUGUGUGGCAGCAGCUUGUAUCUCUUAAUGUGCCAAAUCCCUGUCUCACUGUUAGUCUCUGUACCUAGUAGCUGUCUUAAAACCCCUCAGACUGAGAGGUGACCCUCUCACCUCUCUAUCUCCUCCUGGCCAUCGAAGGUCACUUCAGCAAUGUCUAAAGAGUU
rnacentral:lncRNA from 1 species